rnacentral:rRNA from 1 species
UACGUAGGGUGCAAGCGUUGUCCGGAAUUAUUGGGCGUAAAGAGCUCGUAGGCGGUUUGGCAAGUCGGGUGUGAAAACUCCGGGCUCAACUCGGAGACGCCACUCGAUACUGCUAUGACUCGAGUCCGGUAGGGGAGUGCGGAAUUCCUGGUGUAGCGGUGAAAUGCGCAGAUAUCAGGAGGAACACCGGUGGCGAAGGCGGCACUCUGGGCCGGUACUGACGCUGAGGAGCGAAAGCGUGGGGAGCGAACAGG